rnacentral:rRNA from 1 species
UGGGGAAUAUUGGACAAUGGGCGCAAGCCUGAUCCAGCAAUGCCGCGUGGGUGAAGACGGCCUGCGGGUUGUAAAGCCCUUUAGGCGGGGAGGAACGGCGUCGGGCGAACAGUCUGGCGUUCUGACGUUACCCGCGGAAUAAGCACCGGCUAACUCCGUGCCAGCAGCCGCGGUAAUACGGAGGGUGCGAGCGUUAAUCGGAAUUACUGGGCGUAAAGCGUGCGUAGGCGGUUCGGUCAGUCAGCCGUGAAAGCCCCGGGCUCAACCUGGGAACGGCGGUUGAGACGGCCGGGCUGGAGUGGGCUAGAGGAUCGUGGAAUUCCGGGUGUAGCGGUGAAAUGCGUAGAGAUCCGGAGGAACACCGAUGGCGAAGGCAGCGAUCUGGGGCCACACUGACGCUGAGGCACGAAAGCGUGGGGAGCAAACAG